AAGUCGUAACAAGGUUUCCGUAGGUGAACCUGCGGAAGGAUCAUUAUCGAGUUAGGGUCUUCUAGGUCCAACCUCCAACCCCAUGUUUAAUUACCCUGUUGCUUUGGCGGGCCCGUCUCUGGACCGCCGGCGGUCGCAAGACUUCUGGCCCGUGCCUGUCAAUAGCCCCCUUUAAACUCUUGAUAAAUUGUGUCUUCUGAGUUACAAAAUUAAUAAUAAUUAAAACUUUCAACAACGGAUCUCUUGGUUCUG
rnacentral:misc_RNA from 1 species